rnacentral:rRNA from 1 species
AUUGAACGCUGGCGGCAUGCUUUACACAUGCAAGUCGAACGGUAACAGGGAGCUUGCUCCGCUGACGAGUGGCGAACGGGUGAGUAAUGCGUCGGAACGUGCCGAGUAGUGGGGGAUAACGCAUCGAAAGGUGUGCUAAUACCGCAUACGUACUGAGGUAGAAAGUGGGGGACCUUCGGGCCUCACGCUAUUCGAGCGGCCGACGUCUGAUUAGCUAGUUGGUGAGGUAAAGGCUCACCAAGGCGACGAUCAGUAGCGGGUCUGAGAGGAUGAUCCGCAACACUGGGACUGAGACACGGCCCAGACUCCUACGGGAGGCAGCAGUGGGGAAUUUUGGACAAUGGGCGCAAGCCUGAUCCAGCCAUGCCGCGUGUCUGAAGAAGGCCUUCGGGUUGUAAAGGACUUUUGUCCGGGAGCAAAUGCUGGUGGCUAACAUCCACCGGAGCUGAGAGUACCGGAAGAAUAAGCACCGGCUAACUACGUGCCAGCAGCCGCCGUAAUAC